CAUCAUUUGUGCAUAAUACCAAUUAAAUUUGCGGCGUAAUAGAUGAUUCUAUGAAUUUUAUGCACCUAUGAAAGAAGACACGCGUCACCGCCAUUUUAAAAAUUCCAUCAAAGAUAAAUGAGAGAGAAGAUUGAAGUUUAUUUUUGAUGCUACUGAAAAAGCAAGUCGUCUCCUAUGGUGUUUUAUCUGUUAAGUUAUCAUCUUGGAGACUUACAGUUAAUUAAGGAACACUAGAAAACUCCAGAUGCCAUUAAAUUAAGGAGCAUUCGUUGUAUCAGUCCUCAUUUGCUCCACAAAAUAAAUGUGUACUUAAAGUCCUAAAGAAAGCAUGGAAGUGUCUUUUUUCCAUUGGGAAUGAAGACAGUGUGCUGUUGCUGUAGGAAGGAUUCAUGACAGUAAAUUUGUAAAUAACUAUCAAUUAGACAUAGUAAAUGAGAUUCCAGAAACUUCGUAUCUCUUAGACAUUUGUAACUUGCUUCAAUAGACAACUUUUAAACAAUGUGUUUUAGAAAGUGGUAAUUAAUUACUUUUUCUUGUCCGUUUCUAUAGAUUGUCUAACGAACAAAUGAGAAGAAAAAUUGCAGUUAAUUUUGAUGCUGUAGAAACAACCGUUGCUUUUGGGGCAUUGGUUGUCUCAGUCAUCAAGUGGCUGUGCCUAUGGUCCUAAAAAAAGCAUGAAAACGCCAUUUUUCCAUUGAGAACGGAGACAGUGUGCUGUUGCUGAAGAAAGGAUUUAUGACAAUGAACUGAUUGUCAUAACAAAUUAGAAGGAAUUGGUGCUACUUCAUGUUUUUAUCUUGCAACAUUAUGCAGUUAGUUUUGGCCCUGAGAAUGGGAGGCAAAUGGAAAUUAAUUUGGAAGCCACUGAAACAAGAAAUUGUCUGCAGUGAUAUCCCUCCUAGAUUUGUUUUGCUCUGCUCAUGAUACUGGUAGACUUUGGAACGCUACUUUCUACAGAUAGUCGAGAUCGUUCAACAAAUGAGGGAGUUAAAGUUCAUUUUGGUCGUACUGAAACAACCAUUAUCUACAUGGGUGUGGUCUUUGGUGAACUACAUCCUUGAUUUGCUAUUUUCGUCUUCGCUUUGCAUCAGUAUGCAGUUAGUUUUGAACUGAUGAGUGAGAAGCAACUGGAUAUUUAUUUGAAUUCCGCUGAAAUAAGAAACUUUCUGCAUUGGAAUUAUUCCUGGAUAUGGUUUGCUUUUCACACCUGCAAACUUUGAAACAUUACAGUCUAGAGUUAAUUAAGAUUGUUCAACAAAUGAGAGGGAGUUGAAGUUUAUUUUGGUCAUACUGAAACAACCAUUAUCUACAUGGGUGUGGUCUUUGGUAAACUAUAUUCUUAAUCUGCUGUUUUCGUCUUCGCUUUGCAUCAUGAUGCAGUUAGUUUUGAACUGAUGAGUGAGAAGCAACUGAAUAUUUACUUGAAUUCCAUUGAAAUAAGAAACUUCCUGCAUUGGCAUUAUUCCUGGAUUUGGUUUGCUUUUCACAGCCGCAAACUUUGAAACAUUACAGUCUAGAGUUAAUUGAGAUUGUUCAACAAAUGAAAGGAAGUUGAAGUUCAUUUUGGUCGUACUCAAACCAUUGUCUACAUGGGUGUGGUCUUUGGUGAACUAUAUUCUUGAUUUGCUGUUUUCGUCUUCGCUUUGCAUCAUUAUGCUGUUAGUUUUUAACUGAUGAGUGAGAAGCAACUGGAUAUUUAUUUGAUUUCCACUGGAAUAAGGAAUUUUCUGCAUUGGCAUUAUUCCUGGAUUUUGUUUGCUUUUCACACCUGCAAACUUGGAACAUUACAGUCUACAGUUAAUGAAGGUGGGAAUAC